rnacentral:lncRNA from 1 species
UUGUAUAUAAGUGAGAGUCUUAUAAACGUUACCAAAUCAUAGCCCAUCAUAUCUAUUUCUAUUCCUAUACUAUAAACGGGGAUAAUCAGGUAGCUCAUGGUCAGCAUGUCUGUCUGACCCAAUUUCGAUUACUUUUGAAAUUGUGGCUUUUUUUGAAUGACCACUUGUAAAUCCGACUAUUUUUGAAUUUAUCCCAAUUUGUAGCCUAACACGUGUAGCCCAACUAUCAACUCACCGCUUGAUUUCUCUAACUACAUCCGACACUGGUGAGAAGCUCCAUCUGCAAAGUCCCCUUCUUCAAACGGCUCUUCGCUUAAUAUCUCUGCUCUCUCUCACUCCUCCCCUCUGUCUAUUGAUAUUUCCUACUGGGUAAUCUUCUUCUCAACUUGUGUUUCUUGCAUUGAUUUGUUUCAAUCGCUGAUAAUAUGCUAGGUAUUUGUGUUUUCCCCUGAAUAGCAAGGGGAUUCCUGCAGAUAAAGUGAAACAUGUUAAUAAAUUUUGUUCUCUAGGUGUUUGACAAAAUUCUUCAACCAGGUUUUCAAUUAGAUUUCUUAUGCAUGGUCCUGUCUUUUGUUUUAUCUGGUUUCAUUCUUUGGUUACAUUUUGAGUUAGGGCAUUUUGACGCACGAAUAGGAAAUCUCUGCCUGACAUUGCAAGAAGUUUCAUUAGCUUAUCAAGUGGUGUUUUUGAGUUGAAAGCUUUCUUUCUGUCUUCAUUUUAGAUAGUCAUCAAGAUUGAUUUUCCUUUGCUUAAGAAAUAAUUUUGGUUUACUAACAGAGGUAUCCCGAGCGGCAGUAGCACAAGGUUUGAAAUGCAUGUAUUAUGUAGAUAGCUCUGCAAUUUGGAUCCUGCUUUAGCUACUAUUAUUUUGGUAUAUUUUUGCCAACAAAGCGAAUAUUACUUAAUAAAAAUUUACAAUGUUAGAAUCGAUUGAAACAAUAAUUAUUUUACUGCUUGGCUGGAAAAACUUUAACAUCCUGCUAUAAAUUUGAUCAAUUAAAGAGAAUUCCCUUUCCUUUCUUCUGGAUACCAUGAAACCUUUGUUGUUAAAUUAUUAUUUGUGGCUUGAAUUAUUUCUUUGUAUUUUUAGGAAACCCAUAAUCCCUAUAGGUUUAGGAAAACCCAUUGUCCUAAUAGAUUUGGGAAAGGUAAACCUAUAGUCCUUGUCAAAUUGGGAAACCUUUCUCAUAUAUGUUUGGGACCUUUUGGGAUCUAUAUAUAGGGGUUGUAGUUGGGGAUUCUAUAGAUUGUAUUGUGUUUUUCUUCUCAUUCAUAGUGGAAAGCUCUCUCUUCUUUUGCCCCGAGGAUUAGGCUUAGCCGAAUCUCGUUAAAUCCUUGUGUUGAUUUUUCUUCUCUAUUUGCUUUGUGUGAGAUUGUGUGCUAGUUAACCCACGAAAUUCCGUAACAAUUGGUAUCAGAGCAAGGUUCGGGUUUCUACACAUAAUUUAGGGUUAAGAUGUCUUCAUCAUCUUCAACAAAGUACGAAGUAGAGAAAUUUGAUGGAGGUUCUAGUUUCAGUCUAUGGAAGAUUAGGAUGAAAUCGUCCCUGGUGUUACAAGGAUUAUGGAAAGCAAUUGAUGAGGAUUUUCCUGAAGAUAUAAAAGAGACAAAGAAGGAAGACCUAAAGGAGAGGGCUUUGAGUGCGAUCUUCAUGAGCGUUACAGAUAGCGUUCGUCGAGAAAUUGCUGAAGAAACUUUUGCAGCAACGACAUGGAAGAAGCUAGAAGAUUUGUAUUCUAAGAAAUCGCUGACAAACUGCCUCUACCUAAAAAAGAGGUUAUACAAUCUCCGUAUUAAUGAAGGUACACAUGUUAAAACUCACCUUGAUGAGUUUAAUUCAAUUAUAAUGGACCUGAAGAAUGUGGAUAUCAAAAUUGAGAGUGAGGAUCAGUCCUUUAUUGUGUUAUGUUCUUUACCACAGUUUUAUGAUACUUUUACUGAUACAUUGCUAUAUGGGAAAGAUAAUAUUUCACUAGAAUAUGUUAGUAAUGCACUAAAAUCUAAAGAGUUGAAAAAGAGACAACAGAAUUGAGGGCGAGGGUCUUGUGAUUAGAGGAAAAACAAAACAAAAGGAAUUUAAAAGGAAAAAAUCAACCGCAAGAUCAAAGUCUAGAGAAAGAAAGCAAAAUUGUUAUGAGUGCGGGGAGCAAGGUCACUACAAGAGAGAUUGUCCUAAGCAGAAGGAGAAAAGAGGGAAGCAGAAAAUAGAUAAUUCGACAAAUAUUAUUGACACUGGCAAUAAUUUUGAUGAUAGUGAUUAUGUAGGGGAAGUUUGUGUUGUGAGUUCUAGUCAUGGGCAAAAUUUGCUUUCCACAUGUGUCCACACAGGAAUUGGUUUGCAACUUACAAACAAAUGAGUGGGACUGUCUAUAUGGGAGAUGAUAAUCCAUUACCAAUAGAGGGGGUUGGUAACAUCAAAUUAAGAAUGUUCGACGGAAUUAUCAGAAACAUUAAGUGUUGGCAUGUUCCUCGGAUAAAGAAAUAUUUGAUUUCUCUUUCGACUUUGGAUGAUCAAGGGUACAAAUUUCACUCCGAGAAUGGAAUACUUAAAGUGUGUAAAGGCUCCAUGGCACUCAUGAAGGGUAAACUACAUUCUAAAUUAUAUCAUCUUCGGUCUAGUAUAGUUGAAGGGGAAGCUGCUGUAGCUUCUGGGAAAAGUGAUCUGAAUCAGUCUCAGUUGUGGCACUUGCGACUUGGCCAUAGGAGUGAUAAUGGAUUGUCUUUGUUGAGUAAGCAGAAUUUGCUAGAUGGGUACAAAAAUCAAGUUUUGAAUUUUUCUGAGCAUUGUGUCUUUGGUAAACAGACAAGGGUAAAGUUCAUCAACAAGGCCGAGCACAAGACCAGAGACAAGUUAGAUUAUAUACACUCUGACUUGUGGGGUCCAAACAGAGUUCCCUCCAAGAGUGGUGCCAGGUAUUUUAUGACUUUGAUUGAUGAUUACUCAAGGAUGGUGUGAGUGUAUUUUCUGAAAACAAAAGAUGAAGCAUUUUCGACAUUUUUAAAUGGAAGACGAUGGUUGAGAGACAAACGGAAAGAAAAGUUAAGCGUCUUCGAACUGACAAUGGGUUGGAAUUUUGCAAUUCUGAGUUCGAUAAUUUUUGCAGCAGGGAGGGCAUAGUGAGACACUGCACUUGUGUCGGAACACCACAACAAAAUGGUAUUGCAGAACGUAUGAAUAGAACGCUUUGUGAUAGGGCACGAAGCAUGCUUUCACACUCAUGUGUUAGCAAAGAUUUUUGGGUUGAAGCAAUCAAUACAGCUUGUUAUUUGGUCAAUAGAUUUUCAUCCACAGCUACUGAGUUCAAAACUCCUUUUGAGGUAUGGUCCGGUUCGCCUGCUGAUUAUUCAAAUUUAAGGAUAUUUGGUUGUCCUGCUUAUGCUCAUGUGAGGGAUAGAAAACUUGAGCCGAGGGCAAAGAAGUGCAUAUUUCUAGGGUAUGCAACUGGAGUGAAAUGUUAUAGGUUGUGGUACACAGAUCAAAAGACUCCAGGGUUAAUUAUCAGUAGGGAUGCAAUAUUCAAUGAAUCUGCCUCACUGGACAGUCAGAGGGAUAAGGCAAUAGCAGAAACAGAUCAUGGUGUCAGUGACCGCAUAGAGCUAGAAAUUGAAUCUCCACUAGCUCAGCCCAGUAGUUCUAAAGUAAAGGAAGUGGAGGAGGUGCAAAAUAUUGAUCAAGAAGAUAAUGUUGAUGCACCUGCGCAACAACUCUAUAGCAUUGCAAUAGGCAGAGAGAAGAGAAUGAUCAACCGACCGCAAAGGUUUGCAAAUGUAGUUGAUGGGAAUCUCCUUGGAUAUACGAAUCCAGUGGGAUUUGCUUUGGCAGUUGCAGAGACCGUUGAUGCAUUUGAGUGUUAUAGCUACUCAGAAGCUAUUUAGAGUACAUAACCAAAUCGAUGGAUUAGUGCUAUGGCUAAAGAGGUUGAGUCUCUUAACAAGUUUAGGCAUUGCCUAGACUUGAUUGGUGUGUGCAGUACUCAAUAGAGCCCUUGCGAGGGAUGAGGGCAAUGUAGAGAGACGUUGUUCCUGUUGAUGAAGAGAAUUCAAGCCAAGGGGAAGAUUUGUUAUUUGUGGCUUGAAUUAUUUUCUUGUAUUUUUAGGAAACCCAUAAUCUCUAUAGGUUUAGGAAAACCCAUUGUCCUAAUAGAUUUGGGAAAGGAAAACCUAUAGUCCUUGUCAAAUUGAGAAACCUUUCUAAUAUAUGUUUGAGACCUUUUGGGAUCUAUAUAUAGGGGUUAUAGUUGGGGAUUAUAUAGAUUGUAUUGUGCUUUUCUUUUCAUUCAUAGUGAAAAAACUCUCUCUUCUUUUGCCCCGAGAAUUAGGCUUAGUCGAAUCUCGUUAAAUCCUUGUGUUGAUUUUUCUUCUUUAUUUGCUUUGUGUGAGAUUGUGUGCUAGUUAACCCACGAUAUUCCGCAACACAAAUAAAAUCUAAAUAGUGACUUACUGCAGUACUUGUGAUUUUCGAAUUUGACACUUGCCUCCUACCUUCAUGACAGAGGCGCACCAUGUUUCUUCUUUUUUAGUUUCUCUUGAUGAUAUGUGGUCUCUAAACUAAGUUAUCUAUUGUAUGUUAAUAUAAGAUAUAUACUCACUGACUCUUUGGAUGGUUUAUCGAUCGACUAGGUAAUAUAAUUUAAUUAACAAUGGAUGUAUAACAUCAUUUAACUGUUCACUUUGCAAUACAAACUGUAAACAAACUAUCAAAUAAUAUUUUAACGUAUCUUAAUAUGUGCACUUAUACAAUUUCGCUGAUCAUUUUAUAUCGAAUACAAAAAUCUAUCUGAUAAAUUAAAAAGGAUACGAUUAAGACAACAAACUUCCCUUACCUUCUGUGCUUUUAGCACUACUUCUGACAUUGUAUAAUAUCAUUGAAUAUAAAAUAUUUGAAACUUUCUUUUCGGGAUAAAUACACAAAGGAAAAGUUUUUACCUGUUGCAAUGCAUGUACGCCGUCUUCUUGCUUGUUCUUCUGUCUGUUUUCUUGAAAAUGUGAGGAUGUGUUACAUAUACAUAGCUUGAAGAAGGAGGAUUUACUGUCUAUUAUAAGUUACAUCCUUCUCUGAUGUGUUUUCAUUUAUUGCUUCACAGUUGUGAAGUUAUUUUUCUCUGUUACGAUAAAAUUGCUUUUUAACCACUAAUGUCUUCUCCUAUUUCGUACAGUAAUUUUGAUAAUGUAUAUGACAUUGUUAAUGAUUUGUUUUUAUUAGUAAUCUAGCUGAAAGGAUUAAAGUAUUUCGGUGUUACAAUAUUAAUUGCAGGAUUUCUUCGUACAACAAAUCCUUACUAUCUGGUGUGAUUAUCUUUGAACCUUACCAAGAUUAGAUAAAAUGCAUGUUGUUGUCUCAAAUGAAGUGCUUGCGUGUGACAUCAAUAAUACAUUAGAGCUUCUAAAAUGCUAUAUCUUUAAUCAAUUACUAUUAUGGAGAUUUUACAUAGUAGAAGAACAUAAUAAUUCCAAUGAAUACUUUAUUAUUUUUCACUUUUGGUUUAUUUUAUAGUGAACUAUUUUUAAUUUGGAAAUUACUUGAAUAUUAACUUAUUGGAAUAUGAGGUAUCCUGGAUUUUGCUUAUUGUGUUUACUUUUGGUUGCUUGUAGAUUUGUCACUGUGAGACUUUCAGUACUCAAAACUCCGGAUUCACAUACAAGUAAAAGAUAAUUGCAAUGGAUAGCCAAUCUGAUCCUCACGCUUUCGCUUUUUCUGCAGCUGAGGUUCUUUUACUUCUCUAUCCACACUGAUAUUCUUAGCUUUUUUAAAAAAAUUCUCAUUUUCUCUUCGCACAAUCAAAUUGAUGAAAUUUUCAUCUGAUUUUCUAUUUGACUUAUGCUUUUAAAGGAUAUCUGUGCUCUAUAUUUCUUAGAAUUUGUUUCAUUUCCUCUUACCAUUGUGGAUUUACAUAGAAGUACCAGUUUCAGUGAAAAUAAAUGUUGCACCUAUAUUUUUCCAAAUCCAUGCCUAUUGUCACUAAAGAUAAAAGAGUAGUGGGUGCAACAGGUAAUCUAUAUGCACUAACUUAAAAAUCCAAGAUCUGCUUCUAUUUUUAAUACAAAUCACCUUUUAGUAAUUUCACUUUAUUUUGUGUUGUUUCAUGCUCUUAAGUAAUGCCAAAGCGGUGAGCUUUAGUUUCUUGUUUAUCGCUUGUGCAGUUGGAAUUUUUUCAAAAGAUGAUACAUGCCAAACAUGAGAAUGGAUCCUCUCAAUCUUGUAUAUGUAUUAUUUUCCUCCUUUAAUUAAAUUUAUUUUACAUAAGCUUUGUAGUGUUUUGUGCUAAUUUUGUUUUGAAUAUUCAAAUUAUCUGUCCACAAUAGCAACACAGGUGCCUCUCUGGUUAGCAGUUGGUGUUAAAAAACAAAGGAAAAUGUACUAUCAGACCUCCUGAAUCCAUGUCCAUUGGUAAGUUUUUUAGUUGUUGGGUGACUCUACCGAUCUGUGCUCCCAAGUGCAGCGACCAGUUGAUUUAAGUUUUGAUUCGAAUUUGUUUGUUUUGUCUUCUAUUUUGGAGAAACUGUUACACACUAUUUUACUAAGUUAGUUAUUGCUAGCUCAACUUGUAUGUCCGUAUAAGACUAUGAAAUCUAGAGUAAGAGUAUCCUUAAGCAAAGGUUCAGUAUUGGAAUAGAGACGGGCCAAAAUAGAUUAGAAUGGUAAAGAGGCUCCAUAUAGUGACCUCAACUUGUGUGAGGUUGAGGGAUAGUAGGGAUAGUAGUAGUUAUUAUAUAUUUGUUGCUAGAUUAUCUUACCUGAUAAAAAAUAAUGUAUUCUUCUGAGUGGUUACUGGUUUGUUAUAGGGUAGAGGGAGUUGUGGUGUCUCCAAACAGUUGAGUUUGUUUGAAUUGGACAAUUCAUAUAUUAGUUUGUUUCUUUUUCUAUUAUAGUUUUCUAUUGAUUGUGUUUUGGGAUUUGGUUAUAUAGUUUAAAUACAACAGUUUUAUCAUAACAGUGAAAGAUAUCAACUGGGCUAAGAUCCUUUCUUUUUGGUAUUAUGCAGGCUUAUUGAAUUGACAUAUGUGGACGUUGUGGGUUGACGACAUUACUGUCUCAUCUGCUACAUCUUUAGAGGCCCAUCAUACUCAUUGUUUCACCUCAGAAUUUCUUCCAAUUACUAAUAAGUCUCAUGUUUCCUUGCUUAAAACACAGUCAUGCUAAUAAUACACUACCAAAACUAAAUAGGAAAAUUCAAUUUCUGCAGAGCCAAAUUCCAAGUUGUUCAUUUCUUUUAAUUUGAUUUUCUUUUGGUAUGUUUAUCCCAGUUAUACCAGUAGUUUCUUAGAGCCUUGUUUUAACUUUCAAGGCCAAUCUACCCUUUGAGCUUAAGAUUGUGUCACUACAAGUUUAACUCUAAUGUUCCUUUAUUCCUGUUUCACUCUUAGAUGAGAAUGUGCAUAGUUCAAGAAUGCCUGAUAGCUCUAACACGAGCAGGGAAAUGAAGAAAACCAAAGUUGAUCAGGCUCAACACAGAGAAAUUUCAGGCAAUUCUAUGAUGUAUAGGAGCUAAGAUUUUGUUGGUGAUCUCUUGUGUAUAGUUAAAGUUUAGAUUCAGUGACAAUAACAUUAAACACUAUGCUUUUGCAGAACACUUCAAAUCACAUAUCUUCUCAAAUACUUGAUUCAGAAGAAAAAUAAAACACCUAUACUUCAUUUCAUUGUUGUUGAAAUUAAAAAACUUUUCAACCUCUUUGCAAUUUGAAUUAUAUGUUAAGCUCACAAAUACCUCCUAAUAGAUUUUAAUGUUGUCACGUUUUGGUAAAUGUUAGAAUGUGCAUGUUGUUUAUGCUAUUCGUUUGAUAAUUUUGACGAAAAUAAAAAUGUUAGUGGAU